rnacentral:lncRNA from 1 species
GAUGAUUAAUUUUUGGCAACCCAUUCACCAUUUCUUCAUUCGUCAAGGUCUUUAAGCCACCAAAAUUCAAAUGACCAAAUCUUAAGUGCCAAAGCCAAGAAUUGUCUUCAACACAAGCUUUUAGACACCUUGGAUGGUCAACAUUAACGUUGAGUAGAAACAUUCUAUUUUUCUCCAUUGACACCUUUGCAAUCAGUUUAUGAGAAACAUCUCUCAAAGUAAGGCAAUGAUUCUU